rnacentral:rRNA from 1 species
GAUGAACGCUAGCGGCAGGCUUAAUACAUGCAAGUCGAGGGGCAGCACAGGUAGCAAUACUGGGUGGCGACCGGCAAACGGGUGCGGAACACGUACGCAACCUUCCUUUAAGUGGGGGAUAGCCCAGGGAAACUUGGGUUAAUACCCCUUAACAUUAUGAGAUGGCAUCAUUUUAUAAUUAAAGCCCCGGCACUUAAAGAUGGGCGAGCACCUGAUUGGGGAGUUGGCGGGGUAACAGCCCACCAAGCCUACGAUCAGUAACUGGUGUGAGAGCACGACCAGUCACACGGGCACUGAGACACGGGCCCGACUCCUACGGGAGGCAGCAGUAAGGAAUAUUGGUCAAUGGACGCAAGUCUGAACCAGCCAUGCCGCGUGGAGGAUGACGGCCCUCUGGGUUGAAAACUCCUCUUAUCUGGGAAGAAAUGCAGAUUUUCUAAUCUGUUUGACGGUACCAGAGGAAUAAGCACCGGCUAACUCCGUGCCAGCAGCCGCCGUAA